rnacentral:rRNA from 1 species
AUUGAACGCUGGCGGCAGGCCUAACACAUGCAAGUCGAACGAGUGGCGGAAGGGUGAGUAAUGUCUGGGAAACUGCCUGAUGGAGGGGGAUAACUACUGGAAACGGUAGCUAAUACCGCAUACCAUCGGAUGUGCCCAGAUGGGUUUAGCUAGUGGGUGGGGUAAAGGUUCACCUAGGGGACGAUCCCUAGCUGGUCUGAGAGGAUGAGCAGCCACACUGGGACUGAGACACUGUCCAGACUCCUACGGGAGGCAGCAGUGGGGAAUAUUGGACAAUGGGCGCAAGCCUGAUGCAGCCAUGCCGCGUGUAUGAAGAAGGCCUUCGGGUUGUAAAGUACUUUCAGCAGGGAGGCGUUACCCGCAGAAGAAGCAACGGCUAACUCCGUGCCAGCAGCCGCGGUAAUAC